UAACACAUGCAAGUCGAGGGGCAGCAUUUCAGUUUGCUUGCAAACUGGAGAUGGCGACCGGCGCACGGGUGAGUAACACGUAUCCAACCUGCCGAUAACUCGGGGAUAGCCUUUCGAAAGAAAGAUUAAUACCCGAUGGCAUAAUUAGACCGCAUGGUCUUAUUAUUAAAGAAUUUCGGUUAUCGAUGGGGAUGCGUUCCAUUAGGCAGUUGGUGAGGUAACGGCUCACCAAACCUUCGAUGGAUAGGGGUUCUGAGAGGAAGGUCCCCCACAUUGGAACUGAGACACGGUCCAAACUCCUACGGGAGGCAGCAGUGAGGAAUAUUGGUCAAUGGGCGCAGGCCUGAACCAGCCAAGUAGCGUGAAGGAUGACUGCCCUAUGGGUUGUAAACUUCUUUUAUAUGGGAAUAAAGUUUUCCACGUGUGGAACUUUGUAUGUACCAUAUGAAUAAGGAUCGGCUAACUCCGUGCCAGCAGCCGCGGUAAUACGGAGGAUCCGAGCGUUAUCCGGAUUUAUUGGGUUUAAAGGGAGCGUAGGUGGACAGUUAAGUCAGUUGUGAAAGUUUGCGGCUCAACCGUAAAAUUGCAGUUGAUACUGGCUGUCUUGAGUACAGUAGAGGUGGGCGGAAUUCGUGGUGUAGCGGUGAAAUGCUUAGAUAUCACGAAGAACUCCGAUUGCGAAGGCAGCUCACUGGACUGCAACUGACACUGAUGCUCGAAAGUGUGGGUAUCAAACAGGAUUAGAUACCCUGGUAGUCCACACAGUAAACGAUGAAUACUCGCUGUUUGCGAUAUACAGUAAGCGGCCAAGCGAAAGCAUUAAGUAUUCCACCUGGGGAGUACGCCGGCAACGGUGAAACUCAAAGGAAUUGACGGGGGCCCGCACAAGCGGAGGAACAUGUGGUUUAAUUCGAUGAUACGCGAGGAACCUUACCCGGGCUUAAAUUGCAUUUGAAUAUAUUGGAAACAGUAUAGCCGUAAGGCAAAUGUGAAGGUGCUGCAUGGUUGUCGUCAGCUCGUGCCGUGAGGUGUCGGCUUAAGUGCCAUAACGAGCGCAACCCUUAUCUUUAGUUACUAACAGGUCAUGCUGAGGACUCUAGAGAGACUGCCGUCGUAAGAUGUGAGGAAGGUGGGGAUGACGUCAAAUCAGCACGGCCCUUACGUCCGGGGCUACACACGUGUUACAAUGGGGGGUACAGAAGGCAGCUACCUGGUGACAGGAUGCUAAUCCCAAAAGCCUCUCUCAGUUCGGAUCGAAGUCUGCAACCCGACUUCGUGAAGCUGGAUUCGCUAGUAAUCGCGCAUCAGCCAUGGCGCGGUGAAUACGUUCCCGGGCCUUGUACACACCGCCCGUCAAGCCAUGAAAGCCGGGGGUACCUGAAGUACGUAACCGCAAGGAGCGUCCUAGGGUAAAACUGGUAAUUGGGGCUAAGA
rnacentral:rRNA from 1 species